rnacentral:rRNA from 1 species
AGCCUGAGAAAUAGCUACCACUUCUACGGAGGGCAGCAGGCGCGCAAAUUGCCCAAUGCCAAAAAAUGAUGAGGCAGCGAAAAGAAAUAGGUCUCCUAAACAUCUAUUCGGUGUUUGGGAGUUGCAAUGGGGGAUAUUUAAAACCAUCCAAAAUCGAGUAACAAUUGGAGGACAAGUCUGGUGCCAGCACCCGCGGUAAUUCCAGCUCCAAGAGCAUAUAUUAACGCUGUUGCUGUUAAAGGGUUCGA